rnacentral:lncRNA from 1 species
UUUCAUUAAAUCUGGCACUUGUUUCAGUGAUCUGAUCCUCUUAUAUUACUAUUAUGUGUUUGCUUUAGUUUUUUCUAUAACAGCUUUCACUAUAGUAGUAGUGGUAGUACUUAACUUGAUUCUACAGCUUUUAGUCAACUAACCAGCUCGCUCUGCAUUAAGCAUCCUAAGAUUUAGAGGGAGAUUAAAUAAACAGACAUGUCCUACGUACAGAUCACGGCAAGCAACGAACAUUUUUGUUACUCUACAUUUACAAAAAUCAGGCAAAAUAAGGAGAGAAUGAAUACAUCGGAAGCACAUCUCACUGGCCACGCACGCACGUCUACACUACAGGAUGGUGGUGAACAUCUGGCUGACCAGGUUCGAGUACGACGUAGGCGGCGGCGGGUGGCCGUCGGC